rnacentral:rRNA from 1 species
CCUACGGGAGGCAGCAGUGGGGAAUAUUGGACAAUGGGCGAAAGCCUGAUCCAGCCAUGCCGCGUGUGUGAAGAAGGUCUUCGGAUUGUAAAGCACUUUAAGUUGGGAGGAAGGGCAGUAAAUUAAUACUUUGCUGUUUUGACGUUACCGACAGAAUAAGCACCGGCUAACUCUGUGCCAGCAGCCGCGGUAAUACAGAGGGUGCAAGCGUUAAUCGGAAUUACUGGGCGUAAAGCGCGCGUAGGUGGUUAGUUAAGUUGGAUGUGAAAUCCCCGGGCUCAACCUGGGAACUGCAUUCAAAACUGACUGACUAGAGUAUGGUAGAGGGUGGUGGAAUUUCCUGUGUAGCGGUGAAAUGCGUAGAUAUAGGAAGGAACACCAGUGGCGAAGGCGACCACCUGGACUGAUACUGACACUGAGGUGCGAAAGCGUGGGGAGCAAACAGGAUUAGAUACCCGAGUAGUC